GAUGAAGAACGUAGUGAAAUGCGAUAAGUAGUGUGAAUUGCAGAAUUCAGUGAAUCAUCGAAUCUUUGAACGCACAUUGCGCCCCUUGGUAUUCCAUGGGGCAUGCCUGUUCGAGCGUCAUUUGUACCUUCAAGUCUUGCUUGGUGUUGGGUGUUUGUCUCGCCUCUGCGCGCAGACUCGCCUCAAAACAAUUGGCAGCCGGCGUAUUGAUUUCGGAGCGCAGUACAUCUCGCGCUUUGCACUCAGAACGACGACGUCCAAAAGUACAUUUUUACACUCUUGACCUCGGAUCAGGUAGGGAUACCCGCUGAACUUAAGCAUAUCAAUAAGCGGAGGA
rnacentral:misc_RNA from 1 species